CUUUCUCACGCUGAACUGUUUUUGCGCGCCAUAGAGACCAGCCCGUUGAAUUCAUUGCAAUCUGCUGGGCGAAGAAAAGAGGAAGGAAGAAGCUGAACUCAAGGCAGAAACUCCAAAUCCUAAUAUAAGCUGUUAUACAACUCAGUAUGCAUCAUCAUGGAAAGGAGAGCAAACAGGUAUUUCCCCAUGUCAAAGCUGAGUUGAAGGGGUUUCUUAGAAGUUGAAUACAUUUGGAGUCUGGAGGACAAAUAGGUCAGUUCAUUGAAAUUAUUGUGUAAUAAUUUUUGUCAAUAAACAGAUUAGGUUUAUAGAGUUGUGAGUAAACUACUUUCCAAAAGGCAUUGUUAGCUACAUCACAAGUGUUGUAGAGGUUGACUUACAUGUAUUAAAGAAACUCUGCUUGGAUUAUAUUGUUAUUCA